GAUGAACGCUGGCGGCGUGCCUAAUACAUGCAAGUCGAGCGAACGGACGAGAAGCUUGCUUCUCUGAUGUUAGCGGCGGACGGGUGAGUAACACGUGGAUAACCUACCUAUAAGACUGGGAUAACUUCGGGAAACCGGAGCUAAUACCGGAUGAUAUUUUGAACCGCAUGGUUCAAAAGUGAAAGACGGUCUUGCUGUCACUUAUAGAUGGAUCCGCGCUGCAUUAGCUAGUUGGUAAGAUAACGGCUUACCAAGGCAACGAUGCAUAGCCGACCUGAGAGGGUGAUCGGCCACACUGGAACUGAGACACGGUCCAGACUCCUACGGGAGGCAGCAGUAGGGAAUCUUCCGCAAUGGGCGAAAGCCUGACGGAGCAACGCCGCGUGAGUGAUGAAGGUCUUCGGAUCGUAAAACUCUGUUAUUAGGGAAGAACAUAUGUGUAAGUAACUGUGCACAUCUUGACGGUACCUAAUCAGAAAGCCACGGCUAACUACGUG
rnacentral:rRNA from 1 species